rnacentral:rRNA from 1 species
GACGAACGCUGGCGGCGUGCUUAACACAUGCAAGUCGAACGGAAAGGCCCUGCUUUUGUGGGGUGCUCGAGUGGCGAACGGGUGAGUAACACGUGAGUAACCUGCCCUUGACUUUGGGAUAACUUCAGGAAACUGGGGCUAAUACCGGAUAGGAGCUCCUGCUGCAUGGUGGGGGUUGGAAAGUUUCGGCGGUUGGGGAUGGACUCGCGGCUUAUCAGCUUGUUGGUGGGGUAGUGGCUUACCAAGGCUUUGACGGGUAGCCGGCCUGAGAGGGUGACCGGAAACAUUGGGACUGAGAUACGGCCCAGACUCCUACGGGAGGAAGAAGUGGGGAAUAUUGCACAAUGGGCGGAAGCCUGAUGCAGCAACGCAGCGUGCGGGAUGACGGCCUUCGGGUUGUAAACCGAUUUCGCCUGUGACGAAGCGUGAGUGACGGUAAUGGGUAAAGAAGCACCGGCUAACUACGU